GGCUUCCCAAUUCUUACCACAGGCUGUGUUCUUUGCAUAGAAAGAGGAGGUACAGUAAAUGCACGCCAUAUACACCCGAUAUACACCUCAGCACAGGCCUUUUGCCUGGUCUGUAUUGUGAAAUGGGGGACAAAA